rnacentral:rRNA from 1 species
UACGGAAGGCAGCAGUGGGGAAUAUUGCACAAUGGGCGAAAGCCUGAUGCAGCUAUGCCGCGUGUAUGAAGAAGGCCUUAGGGUUGUAAAGUACUUUCAUCGGGGAGGAAAAAACAAAACUAAUAAUUUUAUUUCUUGACGUUACCCGAAAAAGAAGCACCGGCUAACUCCGUGCCAGCAGCCGCGGUAAUACGGAGGGUGCUAGCGUUAAUCAGAAUUACUGGGCGUAAAGAGCACGUAGGUGGUUUUUUUAAGUCAGAUGUGAAAUCCCUGGGCUUAACCUAGGAACUGCAUUUUUGAAACUGAAAUACUAGAGUAUCGUAGAGGGAGGUAGAAUUCUAGGUGUAGCGGUGAAAUGCGUAGAUAUCUGGAGGAUACCUGUGGCGAAAGCGGCCUCCUAAACGAAUACUGACACUGAGGUGCGAAAGCGUGGGGAGCAAACAGGGAUUAGAUACC